GGUAACUAGCAAGGGAAGAAAAGGGGAAUGUGGCAGUAGCGAAGCAAGCAGGGGUCAGGGAAGCCGGAGGCCGAGAGGGUCAGAGCGGGGGCCAAGGGGACCGGCAUUGCUGCGGCAGCGAACCGGGAGGCAAAAGGGGCAUGUUGAAGAAAAAGCCAAACUCUGUAAAUAUUUGAAGAGAUUUAUUCUGCACCAAAUGUGAAGACCAUGACACGUGACACAACCUCAGAAGGUCCUGAGAUCAUGUGCCCGAGGAGGCUGGAGUGCAAUGGUGCAAUCUCAGCUCACCGCAACCUCUGCCUCCCGGGUUCAAGCAAUUCUCCUGCCUCAGCCUCCCGAGUAGCUGGGACUACAGGAUGAAACACACUUGGAUAUGAAGAAUAUUAAACUAAUAUUGGGAAAGAAGAGAUGGCAGAGAUAUGUUGAAAGUAGACUGAUGGAAGAGACUGACAAAAGCAGAAAAAUGAAUCUGCUAUUUACAAACUACGUCCCCAAAGAGAUAAAGAGAAAUGCUGGAGAAACCCAAGGAAUCUAGAAUCUAACACUACAAAUAUCACACCAGUCUGCACAUUAGUGUGCACCAACUGAACUUUGCAAAGAAGGACGACUAAGCCCCAGUUUCCUGGAAACUCACUGAACAGACAGGCCAAAAGAGCCUUCAAAACAAGCCAGAAAAGGAGUGUGGCCCUGCUGACUUGGAGCUGUACACCAGGAGCAAUACUGGUUAACAGCAUGCCUUCUAUAGCCAGAAAAACAAGAGUCCAAUAUCCAGUUCUGCCACUUAACUUCUCUGGGCCUCAGUUGUCUCACCUAUAAAUAGGGAUAAUAAUAAAAUAACCUACACCACAAAGGUGGGCCAAAAUUAAAUUACUCAAUGUACAUAAAGUGCUUGGAACAGUGCUGGACACAUUGCCAGUGUUUGAUAGGUUUUAGUCAUUAAUGUUGUUGCUGUUGCUGCAGCAAGAAUGCGCUGGAAGUGAUGUGAAGUCUAAACUUCUCAUUUACAAGAAAACAGCAUGAGAUCCAGAGAGAAGUCGGGUGUAGCUCCAGGUCACCAGCAAGCUCAUAGCAGAGCUCAGAACAGAAACCAGAUCUCUUGAGUUCUAUGCUCUUUCUACUAUACAACAUUAACUUUCAGAAGGGUGGCUUCCUAACUUCUUAGAUCACAUUCCACAGGGGGAAAAAAGAGAAAAUCUCAAACAUGGUAUUACAUGCUUUGUAUAGAAAAACAAAAAUAAGGAUGACAACAGAUUUUUCAUGAGAAAUGAUGCAGGGACUCCAUGUUUGGGUCCCGUUCCAUGAACACUCUGUGGAAGCCAUCUUUCUCUUUCCUGGAUUUCCCCUCUGGGGUCCCCUUCCACACUCUCUUGUGGAAGCCUGUCUUCCGCUCCUAAACUCCAGCUGUCUCUACUCCCUUUCACUCAGUGUGUAAGCUGCUUUCCUCUCCUGGAUCCCAUCUUUCUGGAUUCUCUCACUCAGCGUGAGAGUUAGCUGUUUCUUUCUCUCCCCUCCUGUUUCUCUCUCUCUCUAAAUAAAUCACUUUCUACAAACAACAACAACAACAACAAAAAGAGAAAUGAUGCAAAUGAGAGGACAGUGAAGCAACAUCUUUAAAGCACUGAAAAAAAUGUCAGGUUGGAAUUCCAUACCAAGUGAAAAUAUGUCUCAAAAAUGAAAGCAGAGGAUAGUGGCACUUCUGCUUUAGGGAAGAUGGAGUUGAUGUAUUUUUCCCUGAUCCUCCUGCCAAGUACAACAAAAGUCCUUGAAAUUAUAUACAAAACAAAUCUGAAAAGGUAGAGAGAAGAAGGCAGACUGGC